CUGAUUGUGGUCAGAUUUC
rnacentral:snRNA from 1 species